CAUGGAGUUUGAUCCUGGCUCAGAUUGAACGCUGGCGGCAUGCCUUACACAUGCAAGUCGAACGGCAGCACGGGAGCAAUCCUGGUGAGAGUGGCGGAACGGGUGAGUAAUAUAUCGGAACGUGCCCAGUCGUGGGGGAUAACGUAGCGAAAGUUACGCUAAUACCGCAUACGAUCUACGGAUGAAAGCGGGGGAUCGCAAGACCUCGCGCGAUUGGAGCGGCCGAUAUCAGAUUAGGUAGUUGGUGAGGUAAAGGCUCACCAAGCCAACGAUCUGUAGCUGGUCUGAGAGGACGACCAGCCACACUGGAACUGAGACACGGUCCAGACUCCUACGGGA
rnacentral:rRNA from 1 species